rnacentral:lncRNA from 1 species
CCGUCAUGAGAUAACAAGAAUAAAACAUAAGGGAGUACUCAACAUAUGACGAUCCAACAUGAUAUACAAACUUAUACAUGUGACAUACGGGCCUAUAAGGCCGACAUGACCAUUUGUAAACUCAACACAUAGGCCAACAAGGCCAUACAAGUAUCCAUAAACGUAACAUCUGUCUACAAGACUCUAAGAGUACAUAAAAUCAUAAAGGUCGGGACACGGCCCCACCAUACCAAUCAAUACAUAUCAAAAGCAUACUGACCAAAUAGGCAACUCCGAAGCAAGUGGAGUGCACCAACACCUCCGCUGAGCUGAUAGCCUCCUAGGAGGAAUGUCAACCUAUCAAUUGGGACCUGCAAGCAUGAAACGCAGCGUCCCCAGGCAAAAGGGACGUCAGUACGAAUAAAGUACCGAGUAUGUAAGGCAGGAACGCAUAAACAAGAACAGUAAUAUAAAGAGAGAUAGAGGAGAUACAACUUGUAACAUUUGCGUGCCUCUGGGGCUACUGACAUGAAAUGCAUAAUAUAUAUAUAUAUAUACAUAAACUUUUAAACAUACGCCUCUGUAAGCAUCAUCAUCAUCAUAUCAUACCUGGCCUCAAAGAGGACUCGGUAAAAACGUACCUGGCCAUCAUAAGGCUCGGUAGAAUCGUACCCGGCCACGUAGAGCUCAGUAAAUCCAACUGAUCAGUGGUUGCACAAUAGGUGUCGUACCCAGCCUACUAUAGCGCGGCUCGGUAGAGUAAAAUAGAUAUUAUAUAUAAUGCAUACUAGACUCAUGGAAUCACAUUCUAAACCUUUUGGAGUGACUUAAGGUCGUUGCACCUUCGAUUAACAUUAUGACAUCAUACCAUCAAUAUGAGCUUCUAUAGGAUUCAAGGAUCAUACAUACUUGCUUAAAAUAACUUUAUAAGGAAAGAACAAUAUGGGCAACCUUAGUCUAGGAGUAGGUCCAUUAUGAAAUAGCGUAUUCAUUUCACUUUAGAUAAUGCCAAAAGAAAGAGGGAAGUGCUUUAACAUACCUUAACCAUGGUGAGUCCUUAAUACCUCCCAAGCUACUAUUCAAACAACUCAACUCAAUCUACCAUUGCAUAAGGAGAUUCAAAAUCAGUGUUGAAUAAAGGCUAAGUCUGCAACUUAAACUUGCAGCUCGUUUAUAUAAAUUCGGGCAGCAUCUCCCCUGUAACAACAGCCUCCUCCAAUAUCAUAUACCAACAACAAUUACCAGAGAAAUCCAGCAAUACAUAAUUAUCAAUAACAAGACACCAUAAAAUAACAACAAGUCAUAACUAUUUUACGACGAGCGACAAGCUCCAAUUGGAAUUUGUAUACCUCAUAUCAUCCCUUAUAGACUUUUUACUUUAGCAUAAUAGUAUCAUUAAUAUGAUAAUGAAAUCCUUCAUCAAUAAUUCCAUCCUUAUACCAUAUAUCCAUAACAAAGAAAAUGAUCCACAACUCCAAUUAUUCUUAAUUAGCAACUUUAUUCACUAGUUCUUGUCUAGUUCAUCCAUUUAACUUAACCAAUGCCAAGAUAACUUAAGAACCUGUAGGAACACAAUAUAAUUACCUCAUACAGUAGAUGCAAGUCAAAAUCCAUAUUAUAUUUAGCUUACAACAUCCCAAUACACCCUAAUCAAUUCAUAUUCAAAAUGACGACUAUAGUAGUGUUAAACAUAAUGACUAAUCCGUGAUUUUUUUCAUUAUGUGGUGUUUAUCCACACCAUUUAUCCUCCAAAAGCUCCAUUUAACAACAACAAAAUAGACAGCCCAAAAGCUACACGAAACAACCCAAAAACAGUCCGUGAGUUCUAACUAUUAUGAAAUCAAUUAAUCAACCUUCCUUGAUAUUUAAGAGCUUAAAACCAGAAAUUAAGAAAUUUCUCAACUAUUAAAUAUCUUUAAAAAAACUCAAACUACAAAGAAAAAGAGAGGCAAUAUAGCAAUACUUACGUUGUGGGGAUCGUAGUUUUAUUGCUUCUUGAUUUCGUGUCCGGGAUGAUGGUAUUGUUGGAAACCCUUGUAGAGAGCUUAAGGGUGAUGUUAGGGGUCUUAUUUGGUCGUGCUCUCUGGAAAUAUGC